rnacentral:lncRNA from 1 species
AGAAAGAAAUAUCCUCUUUUGCCCAAAUUCUCUUAAUUUUUACUCCAUUCUCAAGUUUUUGGAAGUCACGAUGGAUUUGAGCUCUGAAGCUUCCGUUGAUUUGAAGCUUCCUUCAGUGGCUACUAAGGAUUUGAGCUGAAGCACGCAUCAAUUUUUCCAAGGAUUUGAGCUGAAGCACGCAUCAAUUUUUCCUUCUGCUUGAACUGAAGUGCACUAAGAGGUAAUAUCUCUUUCUCGAUCUCUCAUUGUACUUGUUAAUCCUCAUUUUCUCUGUAAUUUUGUUUUAUUGAAUGCUUACAUGCGUAUGUUUUCUUCUGAUUUGGUUAUAAUUUUGUUUAAAUUCGUUUACAAGUUAAACUUGGGUUUGAUUAAUUUGUGAUUGAUUCGAAAAGCUUCAACUGUAACUCAUUUAGUAGGAUUUUGAUGUUAAACCUAAAUUAACCCAAUGAAGGUGUUACGUACAGCUAGAAAUUCUGCUUCUUGUAAUAAACUAAAAUCAUCAAAUUUACUGUAACACUGGAUGACGAGGAAAACUGACCAUUUUUUAUACCAAAAGGUAUCUUGUGGGAUUAGUAGAGGGUUUUCACUUUCCUCCAAGCAUGGAUGUACUUAAGCCUCUUAUCAAGCAUCAACUUUUGCUGUCUAUAAACAGACUGGAAUAUUUGGAAAAAUUCCUCUGUGAAAAGAUCCCCUGCAGCUCUGAAAUUCUUCAGUUCCUCAUAAAGUCUUAAUGUAUCUAUUCCAUUCAAUCCCACUUUUCUCUUCAAAUUGUUGAAGUGCUACAAUUGACAACCCCGAGCUCGUUUUAGGCCUUUCUCUAAAGCAGCAAGGAAAUCCAAACUUAUUUCUAAAUUCUGCUGCAUAUACGUUUCUUAUAUCAUUGUGGUUGGAGAUUGAACACACACGCUCUCUCUCAUUUGUGUUAUAGGAGAACUUGGUUGUAAGAAAACAGUAGGUAUGCAACGAUUAGUGUCAGGACACUCUGAAACCUGCAUGUUGCUUGUUCCUUAAGGUGAAUCCUGUGUAACUAAGUAAUACUUCUCUGAAUGCACUCUUUUGUGAAAAAUCUGGUAAAGUGCUACUGGUAAGUUAUAAUUUGUUUGUUAUAUAAGUUAGUUUGACGUAAGAUGUAAUACGUAAAGCUGUUGAAUGUCUUUUGGUAAGUAGUUUCCAAUGUAGUCUCUAUUGGUAAGCUUAGACAUGGCUAAGACGAGCUUAAACACUAUAUCAAGAACUACUAUGUUGAUUAUUUGAUCUUUAUGCUAAUUUUUUUUUGUAAUUGCAGAAAAAUAAGGAAUAUCUUGAACAAUUAUGGAGAAUUCUAGAAAUAGAAGAUGGAUGGAUUACAGUAGAGUCAGUAAAGAGUAUUUAGAUGGAGUAGAAAAUUUCCUAAACCAUGUAUUUCAUGAAAACGAUAAUGGAGGAACAAUUUCAUGCCCUUGUACAAAAUGUGUGCUAUACUAUCAAGUAAAUCGGGCAUCAUGCUGAUACUCAUGCCAAUAUUCUGCUCAUACAAAAUACAAAUGUUGAUUUUCUGCUUAUACAUGGAGCAUUACAUGUUUGAGAUACUAUAUUUGGACAAGAUGGUAAGGCCUUCCUUGUUGUUCUUGCAUAAUUGAUUUAUUGGACAUUGUUGUUCUAACAAAGUUGGACAAGUUGGCAUAGACUUCCUUCAUAUCUGGGCGUUCAUUUGGAUCCUCAGUCUAGCAUUUUACUGCUAAGUCUGUGAUGUUAUUAGCAAGCUCAUCAUUAUCUUCUCUAUUUCGUCAAAUUUUAGUCACCUGGUCUUAGUGAGUAAGAUAUGUAAUUGUCAUUUCAAUUUAUAGUCAUCUAACCAUCUGUCGCUAUAUGUGUACAGUGUUAUACUCGUUCAAAUGGUGACUUGUUCAAGGAAUGACAGGCUGAUCCAGGGAGCUGCACAUUUUGCAUUAAGGAAAAAAACAGUGGCUUUAUUGCUUUAUUUUCUCCAUUAUUGAACAUAAUUUUUCUAUUUUGAUAAUUCAUAGUUUCUUUUACCGCUAACGAGAUUAGAAAGUGAAUGUGAUAAAGAUUGUUUGAUCUUAUUUUAUGUGAAUGACAUUGUUUUGAGUUUGGUAAUUCUUUUUUAUUACCUUCUAACUUAUUUCUCUUGUAAAUUUCAUUUGUGAUGUUAUAAAAGAGGGUUAAAUAUGUCAAUUAUAGUGAAUUUAUGAUCAAUUUUAAGGCGUAACGAUAAUUUAGUGACAAUUAUUAUCUUUACCGGCAAAAGCAAAAGCCACAAAUAUGUUUGUUUCUAAGGUGACUUUAAUGACAAUAGUAAAGGCCGCUAGAUAAAUGUCGCCAAAAGUAAUUACUUUUAGUGGCAAUAAUAAAAGUCUUUACCGGCACUCGAC